rnacentral:rRNA from 1 species
UACAGAGGGUGCAAGCGUUGUUCGGAAUUAUUGGGCGUAAAGAGCUUGUAGGCGGUCUGUCGCGUCUGCUGUGAAAAUCCGGGGCUCAACCCCGGACUUGCAGUGGGUACGGGCAGACUAGAGUGUGGUAGGGGAGACUGGAAUUCCUGGUGUAGCGGUGAAAUGCGCAGAUAUCAGGAGGAACACCGAUGGCGAAGGCAGGUCUCUGGGCCACUACUGACGCUGAGAAGCGAAAGCAUGGGGAGCGAACAGG